rnacentral:rRNA from 1 species
UACGGAGGGUGCAAGCGUUAUCCGGAUUCACUGGGUUUAAAGGGUGCGUAGGCGGGUAGGUAAGUCAGUGGUGAAAUCUUCGAGCUUAACUCGGAAACUGCCAUUGAUACUAUCUAUCUUGAAUUCUCUGGAGGUGAGCGGAAUAUGUCACGUAGCGGUGAAAUGCUUAGAUAUGACAUAGAACACCCAUUGCGAAGGCAGCUCGCUACGGAGUCAUUGACGCUGAGGCACGAAAGCGUGAGGAUCAAAACAGG